AGCGAACGCUGGCGGCAUGCCUAACACAUGCAAGUCGAGCGCCCCGCAAGGGGAUCGGCAGACGGGAGAGUAACACGUGGGAACGUACCCUUCAGUUCGGAACAACCAAGGGAAACUUUGGCUAAUACCGAAUACGUCCGCAAGGAGAAAGAUUUAUCGCUGACGAAUCGGCGCGCGUCUGAUUAGCUAGUUGGUGGGGUAAUGGCCGACCAAGGGGACGAUCAGUAGCUGGUCGGAGAGGAUGAUCAGCCUCAGUGAGACUGAGACACGGCCUAGACUCCUACGGUAGGCAGCAGUGGGGAAUAUGGGGAAAUGGGGGCAAGCCUGAUACAGCCAUGGCGCGUGGAGGAUGAAGGCGCUAGGGUGGUAAAGUCCUUUCGGCGGGGAAGAUAAUGACGGUACCCGCAGAAGAAGCCCCGGAUAACUUCGUGCCAGCCGCCGCGGUAAGAC
rnacentral:rRNA from 1 species